UACGAAGGGGGCGAGCGUUGUUCGGAUUUACUGGGCGUAAAGGGCGCGCAGGCGGCCAAUCAAGUCAGGCGUGAAAGCCCCGGGCUUAACCUGGGAACUGCGUCUGGGACUGAUUGGCUAGAGAUCGGGAGAGGAGAGUGGAAUUCCCAGUGUAGAGGUGAAAUUCGUAGAUAUUGGGAAGAACACCGGUGGCGAAGGCGGCUCUCUGGACCGAUACUGACGCUGAGGCGCGAAAGCGUGGGGAGCAAACAGG
rnacentral:rRNA from 1 species